rnacentral:rRNA from 1 species
AGAGCGAACGCUGGCGGCAGGCCUAAUACAUGCAAGUCGAACGGAUCCUUCGGGAUUAGUGGCGGACGGGUGAGUAACACGUGGGAACGUGCCUUUUGGUUCGGAACAACUCAGGGAAACUUGAGCUAAUACCGAAUGUGCCCUUCGGGGGAAAGAUUUAUCGCCAUUAGAGCGGCCCGCGCCUGAUUAGCUAGUUGGUGGGGUAAUGGCCCACCAAGGCUACGAUCAGUAGCUGGUCUGAGAGGAUGAUCAGCCACACUGGGACUGAGACACGGCCCAGACUCCUACGGGAGGCAGCAGUAGGGAAUCUGCGCAAUGGGCGAAAGCCUGACGCAGCCAUGCCGCGUGAAUGAUGAAGGUCUUAGGAUUGUAAAAUUCUUUCAGCGGGACGAUAAUGACGGUACCGCAGAAGAACGCCCGGCUAACUUCGUGCCAGCAGCCGC